rnacentral:lncRNA from 10 species
CGGAUGUCAAUUCCAGGCUGAAGCUUUUAGUUGCCAGAGCCAGGUCCUCCAGUCCUACCUUUCCACUGUGGCAGUCCCUCUGAAGUCCCAAGAUCAAGAGCUGACAGCUGAAUCCUUGCAUGGAGAGUCGCCUGGACCUGCAGUGGACUCUGGAUGAGGGAGUAUACACCGAAAGGGAGGCAUGACAGCUCCACAUCUGUGUUCACCCUUGUGGAUCCCAGGUGAGACUCCAGAUGAAAUGGGAGAGUUCUCUGACCCCCUCACAGGACAUGUGACAGGAGUGUGGCUAGUCUGUUCAGCCUCCACCACUGCUGAAACACCUUAUGGGAGGGGGAGCAUGCAGAUGGGCAAGCGCAGGUGCCAGGGCCAGCGCUUUUGGGCUUCAACCCCAUGGUGGCAUCUAGGGGUGUGUGUCUGUGACUCCUGAAGCCCCAGUGUGUGUGCUCCAGUGCUCUUUUAGCUCUGCUGUCUGUCAGGCCUCUGAGCCCAAGCUAAGCCAUCAGAUCCCCUGUGACCUGCACGUAUACAUCCA